CGUGCCAACUCGCCGCCAUCUUGGGGAGGUAAUGACUCGCCUGUAAACAAACGCAAGUGAACGGUGGAGCUGCGGCUUUUCUGGUUAAAAAGCACUUUAGCGUUUACAUUUCUUAACCGAUUCCGUUGAGUCGUUUAUAUAUUCAAGGGUUUAUGAUCUACGUGGAGUACCAAAAAAAGUUUUGUCUCCAUGUUACUUAGAAUCUCGAUAGUUAGAUAUUUUCCUGCAGUAGUGAAUAUUGUACGAUUACGGCUCAGAACAAGAUGAACUAGAAUCAGAGUGUAAGUAGCUAGUGCUAAUGUGAAUCGCGUAUGGUUAUGUAUAAAACAAUUCUGGUGUCUUGAAUUGGACAAUAAAGUUAACGUUAGCUAGCGUUAGCUAACUUCAACUUUGUCUUUGGACCAGUUUAUCAUCGGAGUGAAGUGGAGGAGUUUGAUAGGGGGAUAUCUAAACAAUUGUGCACAAAAGGGAGACCAUUCAACUAGAUGAAGUUAUAUGGAGGUCGAUAUGGAGGUCUAGAUGGAGUGAUAUGGAGGGGUGAUUGUCAUUGUGACAAUUGUUCAAAAUAAACAAUGUAUAUCUUGAA